rnacentral:rRNA from 1 species
AGUGGCGGACGGGUGAGUAACGCGUGGGUAACCUGCCUCAUACAGGGGGAUAACAGUUAGAAAUGACUGCUAAUACCGCAUAAAGACCACAGCACCGCAUGGUGCAGGGGUAAAAACUCCGGUGGUAUGAGAUGGACCCGCGUCUGAUUAGGUAGUUGGUGGGGUAACGGCCUACCAAGCCGACGAUCAGUAGCCGACCUGAGAGGGUGACCGGCCACAUUGGGACUGAGACACGGCCCAA